GAUGAACGCUGGCGGCGUGCCUAAUACAUGCAAGUCGAGCGAACGGACGAGAAGCUUGUGUCUCUGAUGUUAGCGGCAGGCGGGUGUGUAACAUGUGUAUCACCUACUUAUAAGACUGGGAGAACUUCGGGAAACCGUAGCUUAUACAGGAUAAUAUUUUGAACCGGAUGGUGCAAAAGUGAAAUUCGGUGUUUGUGUAACUUCUAGAUGGUUCCGCGCUUCAUUAGUUUGUUGGUAGUGUACCGGCUUUUCAAGGCAACAAGGCCUGGCCGACCUGCUGGCGGGAUCGACCACACAGGAACUGAGCCGCGGUCCAGACUCCUACGGAAGGCAGAAGUGGCGAAUCUUGCGCACUGGGCGAAAGCCUGACGGAGCAACGCCGCGUGAGUGAUGAAGGUCUGCGGAUCGUAAACUCUCUUAUUAGGGAAGAACAUAUGUGUAAGUAACUGUGCACAUCUUGACGGUACCUAAUCAGAAAGCCACGGCUAACUACGUG
rnacentral:rRNA from 1 species